AUGCUCAUCAAAGGACCUUUGCAAGUGGUCCAAUCGAUCAAGAAUCAGAUCGAGGCAAUCAGGUGCUUGAACUGGUGCUUGAGGCUGAGCCUAUGGUUGUCCCUAUGGUUGAUCCCAUGGUGGUUAAGCUGGAAUGUCCUUCGAAUUAAGUGUAAAUUGAUCAAUCUCAUCCUCAGUAUCACCACCUUUAGCUUCAGUGGCCUCUCCUUGUGGUCUCUCUCCUUCUACUUCCUCCUCAUAACCCUGAAGGCGUGCUUUGCUUUGAGACAUGGUUUAUGUUGAAAUUGGAUCUUCCCUUUUCAUAGGAACCUAACUAGCUAGAAACUUGAUCCUCUUGUUAUGUAGAAUCGACAUGAUCAAGCUCGGAAAAGGUAGAGUCAUUUAAGACUUCUUCCUCCAGCGGACACACUUAGCAAGCAAAUAGCAAACAUGAGCACACGUGUCUAUCUCCUUCUUCUUGAACUACUUAUGAAGGAAUAGAGCCCUUAGUUGAGACAAGGUUGUCAAAUUCUUGAUCAAAUAGAGGUUGAAGAUCAUGAUGUAGGCUAAGGCUCUUAUUUUUGGUGAGAAAUCCACUGUGUGCAUGGUUUGGCACUUUUGCUUGCCUCUAAGAUCUGUUACUGCAUUUGUAAUUCGGGUUCUUCUAUCAUCAUACGGUAGAGAAGACUCAAGAUUAAUCGAACAGAUUUGAAGCAGAUUCUGGAUUGAUGAAGGAGAAAUAAUGAAUUGUGUCCUUCUAACCCAGCAAUUAAGGUGAUCUCCUUCCUCAAUGGCAUUCGAGAAGAAGUCCUGAACAAGAGGAUCGCGUACAUUCCCAAAGCCCAUGAGAAGUGGAGUCCAAGUUCUAUCCUUGAACACUUCUGGAAUGAAGGUACAAGAUAGUGACUCAAGAUUCACUUCCCUUUCCACAAUGAUCACAACCUCAUUGUAGAAUUCUAUGUAUGCAGCAUCCACAUCUCCAUUUCUAAACCUGUUAUCAUCAUACUAAAGACAUUUAGAGGAUUUCUUUGCAGUAGUUUUCUUCCUUGAAGACAUUUACAAUGAUGAAAAAACACAAACCAUACACAAAAUGGCAACAAACUUGAUUAAUUGCAAGUUAAUACAAAAACCAAGCACAAACACUUUAAAAACUAAGUUGCAAGAGCAUAAAUCAAAACACAAAGACAUAUUAUAGAUGCUAGAAGGUCUAGAUAGACUAAAAGCAUGAGAAAAUGCAUAAAAUGUCAAGUGUGAUAAGGUGUGUGCAAUGCAUGAACAAAGCAUGAACAAGCACAAUGGGGCAAAGUGUGUUAAACAUACAAACAAUGAAAAACAUGUUACAAGUAAGUAAACAUGGCAAACCCCAAAGUUUGGUACUCAUCAAAAUCCAAAUGAGUGAAAAAAAAAAUGCCUUAGGGGCAUUUUAUCAAACGCGUAAUUUUUGCCACAUGUUAUUUUUGCCACAUGUAGCCAACAUUAUCAUCAUCAACACAAAUGGGACUAAGCCCAAUCAAUAGUUUCAAACAAAAUUGACAAAAUUGAAGUUUUCCCAACCCCCAUUCAAAAUCAAACCCAACCCUAGGUUUUAAGCUAUCUAAGACAAAAAGUAAGGAAUAGAAAGAUAAAAAGGUUAGAAAUUACCUUAGGGUAGUUUUAGAGUUGAAAUCCAAAGGAAAUUGGUUGAGUUUUGAAGAAAAUUUGAGUUUUUGGGGUGAGGGACUCAUAGAGAUCAAAAGGACAAAGUUUUUGAAAAUCUGACAUUUCGAGCCCUUUAAAACUGUCUUUUUGCGCAUUUCGUGAGUCAGUGACUCGCGAGCCACUCACGAGGUGAGUCACGAAAUGUGCAAAUGCACAGGGUUGAUUUCACGGGUUAGGUCUAAGUUAUAAAGCACUCAUGGCUGAGUCAUGAAACUCUCUGCUUGAAUUUGUGAAGAAAUUGAAAUUUCCUCAUUUCAACUCUCGAAUUGGAUGGGACUACAUCCACUCAUGAGUUGAGUCGCAAAAUUGCCAAACAAAAAUUUUUUCAACACAAAAUAUUUCGGCUUUUUAAGGAAAACUUUAAAAAUAAGGGUGAUAAAAAUCACUUACAAAAAUAACUAAAACACUCAAAAAUAAUUUUGGUUUGAUCAACAAGUGAUUGAGCAUACACACAUCACACUUAAACACGUACAAUCACAUAAAUAAAACAGAUAUUCAUUGAACAUUAAGCUUGGUGUUGUGGUGUGAGUAUCAAGUAUGAAUUAGUCCAUAGUCUAGCAUGAAACUUCAAUGAUCAAUUCAUACACAAAUAACACGAAGUCAAGAGACCUAUCUCAAGAAUAGAAAUGAAUGUAUAUGACUCCUCACCAAAGUGCUCACAUUGAUUGAAAACUUUUCAUUUGGCAUCCAUUUUUCAUACUUUGAUUAAUACAACUCAAUUUUUUAGCACCAAUGCCAUGAAAUUUUUUAUAUUUCUUUGAGGAACAAUCCUUUGGCUUUGGCAUCAUACAUUUUUGAAUACAUUUUGUUCCACCUUUUCCUAGUCUAACUAGUUUUUGAAGUAAGGCUUUUUCAGCUUUCUCUUUUUAGAGAUUGAUGUUUGAAGAGUUUUUUUUUAUAGAAAAUUAAAUGUGAGGAGAUAUAUAAGAUCAAGUCUACGAAUAUAUCAAGAUCAAUCAAGACUAUUGGCUAGACAUUUAUGACAAGCUUGAAGAUCUAUUUACAACAAUCAAACAUAGAUUUAUAGAUUUCACUCACAUUCAAUAUAUGUACAUACAUAAUAAGCUAAGCUUGUAAAUACACUAUGUCAUUAGUACGACGGUACUAGGCCUAACUCUAGAUGUGAUAUGUGCUCAAAAAUAUAUAUAGACACCGCAUUUUAUACCCCUUACGACUCAGGCCCCUGUUCCCCAAUGAUGUUAGAACUUUAAGGCCCAAGGUUGGUUUAGGGCUCAAUUAGAUAGGAAUUGACUUGAGAAAAGUGUUGAUGGAAAAUAUAAUUUAUUUUUGGAAUAUAAAACUAUUUAUAGAAAAGAAAGGCCACAGAAACCCUAAGGCGUGCGUACGCAUACACGCGUAUGCGUACACAUGCUCAAGCUCUGCAUACACAUGCUAGGGUUCCAAAAACUAUGAAAGACAGGCUCUUCUGCAUUUAAACUUGGUUUGGAACAAAUCCCACAUCAUCUGGGAGCCACCCCAAACCCCUAGUUUUUUGGCUAUAUAAAGUCAUAAAAGGUACUUUUUCAAGCAAGGUGGAUUCCAGUGGAAAAACACACAAGAUUCACUAAAAAAUAGUGAAUCAAAAAGGGAGUUUUUCAUAAAACAUCAUCAAGUAAAUUUUAUUUGAUUGAGAACUUUUCUGGUCUUGAUCUUUGAGUUCUAAAAGUUUACUAACUUAUUUUGAAUUGGUUAUGAUUAGAUUGACUGAGGGGAACGGUCAAAAUCAAGUUCUAAAGAGUUCUAGUGUUGAGGUAAAGUUCUAACUUUGGCUCUUCGCUUUUCUUUGCUUUUAUUUUUGUUUUUGCGUUUAUAUAUAUAUAUAUAUAUAUUAAAUGCUUUAAUAUGUUUGUUUAGUCUAGGUUUGUCUCGUGUUGAUGUUAAAAGCAUGAUAGGUUGCUAGUUUUCUUGUUUCUGUUGUGUUUUCUUUGCUUUCUGUUUUAGUUUUUUAGGUUUCGGGUUUCAGGUGUGUAUGCAUGCACAUGUAACUUACAUGAGUACACAUUCUCAAAGUAUGCAUAUGCAUACAAUUGGGUUGUGUACACUUGCCUUAUGUAUGCGCAUGCAUACUCUUGCCUAGAAACCCUAAAUUUGUUUCUGUUUGUUUUUCUUUUGUUUUCUUUACAUGUGUUAUCCUCUGUUUAACCUAGUUUUUAUAUUUGUAUACAUCUGUUUACUCUGUUUUGCUUUGUUUUGCUUUAUUUUGUCUCUUUUAUGCUUGUUAGGGUUUCAUUUGUUAAGAUAUCAUAACAUGCUUGUUUUAAAUCUUUUUUAUGAUGUUGUUGCUUUAAUGAUAUGUUCUUAUUGCCAUGAUAGAUAAAUGCUAGGCUUGGGGAUGAUUAUGCCAUGUUGUUUGCUUUAGAUGCUUGAUAGAGUGUGUAUGAGUUAGAAUAACAUGUUGAAUAUGCCUUUAAUGAGAUUAAGACUUGGAAUACAAUGAGUGGAAGUCGACCUAUGGGUCAAGUGGGGUUGUAUGCCUAACACCUUCCCAUCCCCAUACCUAAACUCUGGACACGUGCUCUGGUAAAAAUCAGUCAUUCCACCCUAGGCCAAGGCGUACUCUCCCAAGUCUCAAAGAUGGUCAUAGGCACUUAUGCCCACAAUAUACGAUCAAACUUUUUGAAAUUUUCACUUUUUAUGUGUUUUGGAUUUUUACUCACACAAAACAAAAGCAUGAAAGUCAAAAAAAAAAAAAAAAAAAAAAACAAUGCAUAUAAAGAAAUGCAUGAUGCACAAAUGCAUGAUAAUGAAACAUUUAAUGCAUGAAGAGUACUAUAAAGAUUGGAAGAAUAAUAUCAAUGACAAAAAAAGCAUAAGCUCAAUCAUAGGAACUCUAGCUUUCUCACCUAAAAAAAAUGAAAGUUUGGAGUGAGUGUCUCAUAAGAAGUGAGACUAGGAUUGGAAGAAUGAGAAUCGGAGAUGCAUAUAGACAAGAAGUUCCGAGCAUUAGACAUUGGCUUUAACAAUAUACCAUUCUCACCAAAAUCUAGUUUUUCUCGUUUAGCACAACUUCUAAGAAGUUCAAGUUUCUCAUUUCUUUUGAUUUUUUUAAGAGCUUGAAAUUUAGAGCAAUGAGGUCGUAGAUGACUAAAAGCACCACAAUGGUGACAAACAAUGUGUUUAGGUCCAUUAGGCAUUCUAGGGAGGGAUCUAGCAACAUGAAUUUAUUCUCUUUUCAACAAGGAACAUUUAGGUCUAAUAUGACCAAUCACACUGCAAUGGUGGCAUGUAGGAACAAACUUAGAUCCGUCCAAAACCCUAAGAUGAGGCCUAAACAAAGGUUUUGGCUUAAGAGCAUCUCUCUCCACUUUAUGAUUCCUUUUAUGUGGAGGUAUGUACACUGAUUUGUCUUUAGAGCUAGAACUCAUAAUAGGCACAAAAUUAGGUUUCACAACAAGAUUACAACAAAUAACUUCUUCCUUUUUAGCAUGAGAUUCAGCAAUUAAACACUUGGCAUACAUAUUAAGUGAUUCAUUUUCACAUUUAAGAUCAUCAACAAUUUUGUUAAAAAAAACAAGUUCAGCACACAAGUCAUUUUUCAAAUAUUCAAAUUCUUUCAGGUUUAUCAAAUAAUUUUUUGCAAGUUUCUUAUACUUUUCAACCAACUUGUUAGAUUCAUCAAGUUUAGCGGUUAAGGCAUCCUUUUCACAAACAAACUUGCUGAAUUUUUCUUGAAAUUUCAAAACAUUUUUCUUCAAGAGUUUCACAUUUAAAAUUUUAGAAAUACACAAGGAGUCAUGCAACAAAUUGUAGACACCUCAUUUUGUACUUCUUAUAACUUGAGCCUCCGUUCCUCAAUGAGGAUAACAAUAGGAGGUCUAGGGCUAAUCUAGGGCCUAGCUAUAGAAUUGUUUAGUUGAAAGAUGCUUUUUGAAAGAAGAAAAAUCCUUACAAAACCCUAAAAGUGUGUACGCAGCCUUAAGCCUGUGUGCGCAUCCUUAACUCCUGCAUAUGUGGCCACAAGCUUGCAUACGCAGGUAAGGUUCUAGAAACCCCUAUAAGGCAAGUAUUUUCACAAAAUCUCGGUGGAGGCAAUCCCACAUCACCUGGAAUUGCCUCCACCCCUUCUCUUUGGAACUAUAAGAGGUCCCUACGACUCUUUUCCCAAUAGAUAGAGAAUCCACUCCAAAAAAGUGAUUCAAAGAGAAGCUUUUUACUUAGAAAAGCAUCAUAAAUUGAAGUUUCUUAGCUAGGACUUAUUCUAGUUAAACUUACUAACCCUUUGGGUAUUUUGUUUUGUAGAUUGAUUGAGAGGAACAGUCAAAAUCAAGCUCCAAAAGCUUCUUGUGUGAGGUACUUGUUCUUCCUUUUUUUCUCUUUGUUUAUUUGCUUUAUGUUCUGUUUUAUUGCUUUAUUGUCUCUUUGUGUAGCUUAGGUUUAUUGUUUAUUCGUUUAGGAAGCACGUUAGAUUGUUUAAACAAGGUUUUGAUUGAUGAUUGUUUACUGAGUUUCUAGGCAAGGUUGCAUACGUAGGCUUGUGCCCAUGUAUACAGGUUAGAGCCCAUAAACCCAGAUCUUGCUUAUUUGUUUUUUCUGAUUAAAUGCAUGUCCUUUAGGUUCUGUUUAGUUCUUUCUCACAUGUUUUAGGUCUUAGGUUUCUAGUGUAACAUAUUUUAAAUACCUUUUGUUAGAUUACAUGAUUACGGUUCUUGAUUGGAUGAACAACAUGGGCAUGGAUAUGGAUAUAAACAUGCAUUGAUGCAUAGGUGCUGUGGUGUAGUAAGGUAAGUGAGGUUUGUCACGCAUGUAACAUGGACAUGUAUUUGAUUAGUUAACUUGUUUUUUUUAUUAGACAUGAUGAGUAGGUUUGGUUGAUGCCAUAUUGCUAUGAUGGGAUGUUUAGGAUGUCUUGAUAUUAAUGCCUUGAAAUCUACAUCUUUGUGAUGUACUCUUUGCCCUUUGAUGUACAUAAAUGAAUGCCAUGAUAAAUCUAUGAUGGGCUUUUGGGACAAUAUGUCAUAUUGUAUGUUAGAUGCAUGUUAGUGAGUGUAUGAGUCUGAGAUAGCCUAUUAAAAGACCCUUUAAUAAGAUUAGGAUUUGAAACACGAUGAGUAGAAGUCAACCUAUGGGUCGGGUGCCUAACACCUUCUCAUCCUUAUACUUAAACUGCAAACACAAGAUCAGUCCUUCACAUAAGGACGCUAUACAUAUCAUUCCUAGACCUAAUCUAGAUGAUGACUUCAUUAAUACUCUCUGAUCGGUCCACCCUUGGCCGAGGCAUACUUCCCAUGAGGAAACCACUCAUCACAGGUGCUUCUGCCCAUAGUGGUGACUCCACUGGGGAUAGAAAAUUUUGAUUCCAAUGUGUUCCAUUUCCUAAUCCUAUUAAAGGCUUUUUUUUUAAUGUGAUUUAGUACACACUAUCACUUGGUUCUUUGUCCCUUUUGCCAUGGUUUGUGAUGAGUGGGAAAUUAGAGGCUCCAUAUAGGGCCAAGAAUUUCCGAAGUUCAUCCCACCAACUCACAAGGCUUUGAGUACAUUACAUGUUUGCCACCAAUCCAUAUGGAGUCCACUUAGGCCCAAGGUUGGAAUAAUGGCCCACCUAGUUGUGAGUAAUCUAUCAAUCUAUGCCUUUAGCUUUAAGGAGCUUACCCACACAUAGAGAAAUCCUAGAUCCUAUCAAAAGAGGGUACUCUUUAUAUCUCUUAUUUUUUCAACCAUUUACACCUAAUUCUAAAGGCAAAAUUUGGUAAAUAGUACAUUUUUAGGAAAAAAUUUGGUGACUAGCACACAUUUGAACUUAUUUAGUUAGUUUGACUAUUUUUGAAACUCAAGUUUACCAAACUCGAGUUCCAACUCAAAAUCGACUUUACUAUACUCGAGGUCCGCCCAAUAUAAGUUUGACGUGGAAUUUAAAUAAAUAAAAAAACCCACGUGGAACUCGAGUUUAGUAAACUCAAGUUCUAUGCGAGUAAAAAAAAAAAAAAAAACCCAGAUGGAACUCAAAUGUAUUAAACUUGAGUUCCAAUAUAUUUUUUUUAAAAUGGAAACCAAGUGUAGUAAGCUUGACUUUUUUUUUCUUUACUUUUUAGUGUUAUUGGCCUGUUUGCUGUGUCUUCAAAUAUUCUGGAUUGUUUCAAACGUUUAAGAAAACAAAACCCAUUACUUCAAAUAGAGCAAAAUGUGAAAAAGAUUGCUACUUUUUUUUUUUUCUUUUUCUUUUGGGGGUUAAAUUUAUUUACUUUUGUUAGGGUUGUUGAGAAAAUGUACAUAAGUCCUGGAAAGAAAGUUUAGAUCUUUUUAUUUUUUUUAUUUUUUAUUUUUUUACCUUGCUUCCUUUUUUAUUUUAUAGAAAAGAAUGUGAGAUAUUUAUUUAUGGUUCACUGCAGUAUCUCUUUUGCUAUUCUGCACAAAUAUAAAAAAUAGAAUUUCUCCUAUUUUUGGUUUUGAGGUCUUUAGAUUGUUUAUUCAUUUUCUAUUUAUUUGCUUCUAUAUAGUGCAAUUGACCAUGUUCAUGAUCUUUUGCUUAUGUGAUAUCUAGACUGUGAUCUUCUUCUUCUUCUUCCUUUUUUUUUUUUUUUUUUUUUUUUUUUUUUUUUUUUUNAAUGAUGCUUACAAAUCUAAUUAAAAGUGUCAUUAUCCAAAUUUGAUAAUGUGACAAAAAAUCAUACAACACUAGAGAAUAAGUCUAGGAUUUUAGCAUAUAGGCUUGUGGGGUUCUUGUAUUUCAUCUUCCAUUUCUUUUCUUUUUUCUUUUCUUUUUCUUUUUUUUUUUUUUGGGUUGGCUAUGGAUCCUUAAAAGAUUAUGCAAUGUCAGCCAUAUGCAUUAUUUUCGAUUAUUACUUUGAUUAUUGAAUGUUGUAAAUUUAAAGGAUUUUAGUAGAUAUUUUAUAUUUUAUGGUUUAAAUUAAAUCCUGUGUCUUCUCUUUUUCCUCUCAUACUUGGCUCAUUUAGGCAUAUAUCUUAUCUCUAUUCUUUUCCCUCUCUUUUAUUUCUAAUUGAUAUGGCAUAAAAACUUUUUGUAGCAUGA
rnacentral:sRNA from 1 species